rnacentral:sRNA from 1 species
UAUCUCUCCGUACGGGGAAGGAUGAGAAGCUUCGACUAAGGUUCGAUUCGAGCGCAGCGAGAAAGCGUUGCCGCAAGCAACGGCCCGAAGGGCGAAGCGCGCAGCGCUGAGUCAUCCUUCCCCCACCACCA